UGACUGUACCUGGUGCCGGGGCGGUCGUUGAUCACCGAGAAUGAGCCCCAGGGAGAGGCGCUGGCAUUGCACUGCGCUCGCGCUGACCCUUGCCACUACCCCAAACUGGGGCAGAUGGGGUAUGCAAAUUGCUUCAAACCGGUUCAGCGCAAGAGAGGGCGCCACCGCC
rnacentral:snRNA from 1 species